rnacentral:rRNA from 1 species
CCUACGGGCGGCUGCAGUGGGGAAUAUUGCACAAUGGGCGCAAGCCUGAUGCAGCCAUGCCGCGUGUGUGAAGAAGGCCUUCGGGUUGUAAAGCACUUUCAGCGGGGAGGAAGGCGGUGAGGUUAAUAACCUCAUCGAUUGACGUUACCCGCAGAAGAAGCACCGGCUAACUCCGUGCCAGCAGCCGCGGUAAUACGGAGGGUGCAAGCGUUAAUCGGAAUUACUGGGCGUAAAGCGCACGCAGGCGGUCUGUCAAGUCGGAUGUGAAAUCCCCGGGCUCAACCUGGGAACUGCAUUCGAAACUGGCAGGCUAGAGUCUUGUAGAGGGGGGUAGAAUUCCAGGUGUAGCGGUGAAAUGCGUAGAGAUCUGGAGGAAUACCGGUGGCGAAGGCGGCCCCCUGACAAAGACUGACGCUCAGGUGCGAAAGCGUGGGGAGCAAACAGGAUUAGAUACCCUUGUAGUC